UGUGAACUCGAAGAGUAGGGCGGGACACGUGGUAUCCUGUCUGAAUAUGGGGGGACCAUCCUCCAAGGCUAAAUACUCCUGACUGACCGAUAGUGAACCAGUACCGUGAGGGAAAGGCGAAAAGAACCCCGGCGAGGGGAGUGAAAAAGAACCUGAAACCGUGUACGUACAAGCAGUGGGAGCACCUUCGGGUGUGACUGCGUACCUUUUGUAUAAUGGGUCAGCGACUUAUAUUCUGUAGCAAGGUUAACCGUAUAGGGGAGCCGCAGGGAAACCGAGUCUUAACUGGGCGUUAAGUUGCAGGGUAUAGACCCGAAACCCGGUGAUCUAGCCAUGGGCAGGUUGAAGGUUGGGUAACACUAACUGGAGGACCGAACCGACUAAUGUUGAAAAAUUAGCGGAUGACUUGUGGCUGGGGGUGAAAGGCCAAUCAAACCGGGAGAUAGCUGGUUCUCCCCGAAAGCUAUUUAGGUAGCGCCUCGUGAACUCAUCUUCGGGGGUAGAGCACUGUUUCGGCUAGGGGGUCAUCCCGACUUACCAACCCGAUGCAAACUACGAAUACCGAAGAAUGUUAUCACGGGAGACACACGGCGGGUGCUAACGUCCGUCGUGAAGAGGGAAACAACCCAGACCGCCAGCUAAGGUCCCAAAGUCAUGGUUAAGUGGGAAACGAUGUGGGAAGGCACAGACAGCCAGGAUGUUGGCUUAGAAGCAGCCAUCAUUUAAAGAAAGCGUAAUAGCUCACUGGUCGAGUCGGCCUGCGCGGAAGAUGUAACGGGGCUAAACCAUGCACCGAAGCUGCGGCAGCGACACUAUGUGUUGUUGGGUAGGGGAGCGUUCUGUAAGCCUGCGAAGGUGACCUGUGAGGGUUGCUGGAGGUAUCAGAAGUGCGAAUGCUGACAUAAGUAACGAUAAAGCGGGUGAAAAGCCCGCUCGCCGGAAGACCAAGGGUUCCUGUCCAACGUUAAUCGGGGCAGGGUGAGUCGACCCCUAAGGCGAGGCCGAAAGGCGUAGUCGAUGGGAAACAGGUUAAUAUUCCUGUACUUGGUGUUACUGCGAAGGGGGGACGGAGAAGGCUAUGUUAGCCGGGCGACGGUUGUCCCGGUUUAAGCAUGUAGGCUGGUUAUCCAGGCAAAUCCGGAUAAUCAAGGCUGAGGUGUGAUGACGAGGCACUACGGUGCUGAAGUAACAAAUGCCCUGCUUCCAGGAAAAGCCUCUAAGCAUCAGGUAACAUCAAAUCGUACCCCAAACCGACACAGGUGGUCAGGUAGAGAAUACCAAGGCGCUUGAGAGAACUCGGGUGAAGGAACUAGGCAAAAUGGUGCCGUAACUUCGGGAGAAGGCACGCUGGUGUGUAGGUGAAGUCCCUGCGGAUGGAGCUGAGACCAGUCGAAGAUACCAGCUGGCUGCAACUGUUUAUUAAAAACACAGCACUGUGCAAACACGAAAGUGGACGUAUACGGUGUGACGCCUGCCCGGUGCCGGAAGGUUAAUUGAUGGGGUUAUCCGUAAGGAGAAGCUCUUGAUCGAAGCCCCGGUAAACGGCGGCCGUAACUAUAACGGUCCUAAGGUAGCGAAAUUCCUUGUCGGGUAAGUUCCGACCUGCACGAAUGGCGUAAUGAUGGCCAGGCUGUCUCCACCCGAGACUCAGUGAAAUUGAACUCGCUGUGAAGAUGCAGUGUACCCGCGGCAAGACGGAAAGACCCCGUGAACCUUUACUAUAGCUUGACACUGAACAUUGAGCCUUGAUGUGUAGGAUAGGUGGGAGGCUUUGAAGCGUGGACGCCAGUCUGCGUGGAGCCAACCUUGAAAUACCACCCUUUAAUGUUUGAUGUUCUAACGUUGGCCCCUGACCGGGGUUGCGGACAGUGUCUGGUGGGUAGUUUGACUGGGGCGGUCUCCUCCCAAAGCGUAACGGAGGAGCACGAAGGUUAGCUAAUCCUGGUCGGACAUCAGGAGGUUAGUGCAAUGGCAUAAGCUAGCUUGACUGCGAGCGUGACGGCGCGAGCAGGUGCGAAAGCAGGUCAUAGUGAUCCGGUGGUUCUGAAUGGAAGGGCCAUCGCUCAACGGAUAAAAGGUACUCCGGGGAUAACAGGCUGAUACCGCCCAAGAGUUCAUAUCGACGGCGGUGUUUGGCACCUCGAUGUCGGCUCAUCACAUCCUGGGGCUGAAGUAGGUCCCAAGGGUAUGGCUGUUCGCCAUUUAAAGUGGUACGCGAGCUGGGUUUAGAACGUCGUGAGACAGUUCGGUCCCUAUCUGCCGUGGGCGCUGGAGAAUUGAGGGGGGCUGCUCCUAGUACGAGAGGACCGGAGUGGACGCAUCACUGGUGUUCGGGUUGUCAUGCCAAUGGCACUGCCCGGUAGCUAAAUGCGGAAGAGAUAAGUGCUGAAAGCAUCUAAGCACGAAACUUGCCCCGAGAUGAGUUCUCCCUGAGACUUUAAGUCUCCUGAAGGAACGUU
rnacentral:rRNA from 1 species